GCUUUCCGCGUUCUCCCCUCUCCACUGGCAGUGCUAGCUCGCCGAGGCCGCCUCCGGGGUCACAAUUCCGGGGUCGCCCCCAGCACCUCUCCGCCGGGUGCAUCAACCUGAAAAAGCCCCUUCUUCCUGAAAACCCUCCUUCUCCAGCGUUUCAACGGGGAAACUGAUCAGCUGACACCAGCCCCAGUCCUGCGAGGGGCCGGCGACCUUUGACCUUUCUCCAAAGGUGACCACCUGGCUUCAUGUGUGGAUUUGCACGGCUCUUGCCCAGAGGCGGGUACACUGUGUUCCAGUGUGCCACAGAACUCACGCAGUGGCACUUUGUGGCUUCAUGAAGGAAGAGGCAGGCCACGCAACACUUCCUCCCCAAGCCAAGGAGAAGUAUCACUUUUAGAGGCAGAGGAGCGGAAGGCAGUGGGGUGACCAAAAGUGCCAUUUAUUAAAGCUUAUCUUCCUUGCCAGAUUUUAAAAACUAUUAUGGAAAAUUUCAAGCAUUCAUAAAAGUAGAGAGAAAGAAAGGACUCUGAGAUUGUUGGAGCAGAACUACUGAGAAAAAGCAGGCAUUGUAUCUUCAGUUGUCAUCGAGUUUGCAAUCAG
rnacentral:sRNA from 1 species